GAAAUGCGAUAAGUAAUGUGAAUUGCAGAAUUCAGUGAAUCAUCGAAUCUUUGAACGCACCUUGCGCUCCUUGGUAUUCCUUGGAGCAUGCCUGUUUGAGUAUCAUGAAAUCUUCAAAGUAAAUCUUUUUUUAACUCAAUUGGUUUCUACUUUGGUAUUGGAGGUCUUUGCAGCUUCACACCUGCUCCUCUUUGUUCAUUAGCUGGAUCUCAGUGUUAUGCUUGGUUCCACUCGGCGUGAUAAGUUAUCUAUCGCUGAGGACACUGUAAAAGGUGGCCAAGGUAAAUGCAGAUGAACUGCUUCUAAUAGUCCAUUGACUUGGACAAUACUUUUAUGAUCUGAUCUCAAAUCAGGUAGGACUACCCGCUGAACUUAAGC
rnacentral:misc_RNA from 1 species